rnacentral:rRNA from 1 species
UUAAGAUACUAAGAGCAUACGGUGGAUGCCUUGGCGAUAUCUGCCGACGAAGGACGUGACAAGCUGCGAAAAGCUGCGGAGAGAUGCAAAUAAUCGGCGACCCGCAGACAUCCGAAUGGAGAAAUCCGGCUGUGAUGAUGCACAGCCAUCCAUGCCCAAGAGCAUGAGAAGGGAACCGGGCGAACUGAAACAUCUAAGUAACCCGAGGAAAAGAAAUCAAACGAGAUACCCCAAGUAGCGGCGAGCGAACAGGGAAGAAGCCCAAACCGGUGAAGGAAACUUUACCGGGGUUGAGGACCAUCAGACCCGCGAAGAACUUUAGCCGAAACUGUUGGGAAACAGUGCCGAAGACAGUGAAAGCCUGGUAGGCGAAAAAGAGAAACGCGGAGAUGGCACCAGAGUACCGCGGGACACGAGAAAUCCCGUGGGAAGCAGGGGGGACCACCCUCCAAGGCAAAACACAGAUAUCGACCGAUAGCGCAUAGUACCAUGAGGGAAAGGUGAAAAGCACCCCGGGAGGGGAAUGAAAGAGAACCUGAAACCGUAUGUUUACAAGCAGUCGGAGACCGCUUAAUAAUAAGGUCGACGGCGUGCCUAUUGAAGAAUGAACCGGCGAGUUACGAAGCCUGGCAAGGUUAAGCAGGAAAUGCGGAGCCGAAGCGAAAGCGAGUCUUAAGAGGGCGCAAGUCAGGAAGCGUAGACCCGAAACCACAGUGAUCUACCCAUGUCCAGGUUGAAACACAGGUAAAAAUGUGUGGAGGACCGAACCUAUAUCCGUUGAAAAGGGUUAGGAUGAGGUGUGGGUAGGGGUGAAAUUCCAAUCGAACGUGGAGAUAGCUGGUUCUCCCCGAAAUAGCUUUAGGGCUAGCCUCAGGGAAAAGAUUGCAGGCGGUAGAGCACUGAUCAGGAGAGGGACCUACCCGGUUACCAAACCCAGUCAAACUCCGAAUGGCUGCAAUCAUACCUGGGAGUCAGACUGCGACUAAUAAGGGCCGCAGUCAAAAGGGAAACAGCCCAGACCAUCAGCUAAGGUCCCCAAUGCCGUGCUAAGUGGAAAAGGAUGUGGCAUUUCAUAAACAACCAGGAUGUUGGCUCAGAAGCAGCCACCAUUUAAAGAGUGCGUAAUAGCUCACUGGUCGAGAGACGCUGCGCCGAAAAUGUCCGGGGCUCAAGCACGGAACCGAAGCUAUGGCAUGAUAGCAAUAUCAUGGGUAGGGGAGCGUUCUUAUAAGGAAGAAGCAUGACCGGAAGGACAUGUGGACAAAUAAGAAGUGAGAAUGCCGGUAUGAGUAUCGAAAAGAAAGGUGAGAAUCCUUUCCACCGAAAGCCCGAGGGUUCCUGAGCAACGAUCGUCGACUCAGGGUAAGUCGGGACCUAAGCCGAGGCGAGAAGCGUAGGCGAUGGACAACAGGUUGAAAUUCCUGUACCGGAUCAAGUCGAUUGAGCGAAGGAGCGACGCAGGAGGGCACAUGAUCGCGCGGCUGGAAGAGCGCGUCCAAGUGCGUAUGUUGCUGCAGAGGAAAACCCCUGCAGCUAAAAGCAGAGACAUGAUGGGGAGUUAAAGGAAACUUUGACGAACUCAUGGAUCCCACACUGCCAAGAAAAACUUCUAGCGAGACAAGAUCCGCCCGUACCGUAAACCGACACAGGUAGGCGGGGAGAGAAUCCUAAGGUGCGCGGGAAAACCCUCGUUAAGGAACUCGGCAAAUUGCAUCCGUAACCUAGGGAGAAGGAUGGCCCCCGGUCAGUGAAGAGCAGAAACGCUCAGAGCUAAAAGGGGCGGCAGAAAAGAGGCCCAAGCAACUGUUUACCAAAAACACAGGUGCCUGCGAAAGCGAAAGCUGAAGUAUAGGUGCUGACGCCUGCCCGGUGCCGGAAGGUUAAGGAGAGAAGUUAGCGAAAGCGAAGCAUCGAACUGAAGCCCCGGUGAACGGCGGCCGUAACUAUAACGGUCCUAAGGUAGCGAAAUUCCUUGUCGGGUAAG